UCACUUCAAAUUCACGCCAAUCAUGCCUAUAUUGGCUUUGUCGGUUCGCCGACUAUGACGAUAAAUGGUGCGUGUAAUAACUGAACUGGACCCGGGUGCGAUUCCCGGCAGCUCCACCAAUUUCUCCCGGCACUUCGCUAACGUGCCGGAUUUACGGGGCUGAUCAGGAUCGACAGGCAGCUAAAGACGUAACUUUCGUUCGCGUGGGUACCGUUAAAUGCCCGUUUUAGUAGUUGCAAACGACAACUAUGCUGAAGAGGUCGCUCUCGCCGCGUAAUGCGGUGCGAGUAUCUCGCUUUAAAGUCCUGAGCCCAUAGCAAGCUCAGGCGGGGUCCGGAGGCGCCUGGCAACAGAAGCCUCCACU
rnacentral:tmRNA from 1 species